UUGAUAUAGGUUGACUGUGAAAGACAUGAUAGGGCUUUUAUGUCUACAACUGUAGGAGCACUGAAAGGUGUUUUGUUGUUAUUGUGGCCUGAAUUGGUAGAACUGCAGAUGUCUAUUUUAGGCCAGAUUCAGAUAGGCUUAGACUGAAAUUCUCAGAAAUAUUGAAGUGCAUACACAGAAAAACUGAAGAGGAGGAAUCAACACGAAGGAUUUCAUUUUAGCUGAGUACACGGGUUCUGAUUUGGAGCCCUUCCACAGGUAGGACUGCAGUUUGGCAUUGCAUUAACCCGAAGGUGAGAAUCAUACCUGAUGCUGAAUUCUUCUUCCCAGCAUCUACUUUUGCCUCCCAAUCUGAUUUGAGUCAGGAGAGAGGCAGAAUCUCGCCAGGCAAUUCAGGUGCUGUGUUGAAAGAGAAGUAGGAAGAAUGCCUGAAAGGGAUCAACCAUUGCUUUUGUGAACAAAUACCAGCAAUUAAGCUAGACAUUUUUGCAUGGAGAGGGAAUAAAACUUGCGAAUUAUAGUACUUCUGCUUCAUUCCUCUGCCUCAAGAUGCUGGGGAUGGACUGGUGUUGAAAGUGACUUAAACUGCACUUAAAUAAGUGCAAAGAGAGAUCAGUCAUCUGCUGUUUUGUCUGAAUUAUGGAUACUCCUAGGUGGAAAUCAUUCCCAUGCCUUCUAGAAUAUCAGUGCUAUGUGGCUACUUCAUGUAUAUCCAUGAGAGUAAGAAAUGUGUUGGUUUUAUCUGUUUGUGAAUGAGACCUUGGCCAAAUAUACUUCAAAAAGGAUACUUCUCUGUUCAUCUCUGAAUUUGUCUGCAAGCUGUCUGGGAAGAUGCCAGAAUCCUAUUACACACCCUUUUUGUGCCUUUAAGCAGUAAGUCCUUCAUUCUCUCUGCUGUACAAAUAGAUUGCACUUUUUGCAGCAAGCACACUGG